rnacentral:tRNA from 1 species
GACGACAUAGUUUAAGUCUAAAGAUACCCUCUCUGCGAGUGGGUGAUGAAGUGUUUCUGUCGUUG